UACGUAGGUGGCAAGCGUUGUCCGGAAUUAUUGGGCGUAAAGCGCGCGCAGGCGGUCCUUUAAGUCUGAUGUGAAAGCCCACGGCUCAACCGUGGAGGGUCAUUGGAAACUGGGAGACUUGAGUGCAGAAGAGGAAAGUGGAAUUCCAUGUGUAGCGGUGAAAUGCGUAGAGAUAUGGAGGAACACCAGUGGCGAAGGCGACUUACUGGUCUGUAACUGACACUGAGGCGCGAAAGCGUGGGGAGCAAACAGG
rnacentral:rRNA from 1 species